AUUAAUAAGCGGAGGAAAAGAAACUAACAAGGAUUCCCUCAGUAACGGCGAGUGAAGCGGGAAAAGCCCAGCACCGAAUCCGCCGCCGUCUUCGGCGGCCGGAACUGUGGUGUUAAGGACAGCCUAUGGGGAUCGGUCGGGAGUCUGAGUCCUCCUGAUCGGGGCUUCACCCAGAGCGGGUGUCAGGCCUCUACGACGCCAGAUCGGUUCUCUAAGGUCGUCCUACGAGUCGGGUUGUUUGAGAUUGCAGCCCAAAGCGGGUGGUAAACUCCAUCUAAGGCUAAAUACAGACACGAGUCCGAUAGCGCACAAGUACCGUGAGGGAAAGUU
rnacentral:rRNA from 1 species